rnacentral:misc_RNA from 1 species
GAUGAAGAACGCAGUGAAAUGCGAUAAGUAAUGUGAAUUGCAGAAUUCAGUGAAUCAUCGAAUCUUUGAACGCACAUUGCGCCCGCCAGUAUUCUGGCGGGCAUGCCUGUUCGAGCGUCAUUUCAACCAUCAAGCCCCGGGCUUGUGUUGGGGACCUGCGGCUGCCGCAGGCCCUGAAAAGCAGUGGCGGGCUCGCUGUCACACCGAGCGUAGUAGCAUACAUCUCGCUCUGGGCGUGCUGCGGGUUCCGGCCGUUAAACCACCUUUUAACCCAAGGUUGACCUCGGAUCAGGUAGGAAGACCCGCUGAACUUAAGCAUAUCAAUAAGCGGAGGA